UACGUAGGGUGCGAGCGUUAAUCGGAAUUACUGGGCGUAAAGCGUGCGCAGGCGGUUUUGUAAGCCAGAUGUGAAAUCCCCGGGCUCAACCUGGGAAUGGCAUUUGGGACUGCAAGGCUGGAGUGACGGCAGAGGAGACUGGAAUUCCUGGUGUAGCAGUGAAAUGCGUAGAUAUCAGGAGGAAUACCGAUGGCGAAGGCAGGUCUCUGGGCUGACACUGACGCUCAUGCACGAAAGCGUGGGGAGCAAACAGG
rnacentral:rRNA from 1 species